UAGGCAGUUUGACUGGGGCGGUCUCCUCCCAAAGAGUAACGGAGGAGUUCGAAGGUUACCUAGGUCCGGUCGGAAAUCGGACUGAUAGUGCAAUGGCAAAAGGUAGCUUAACUGCGAGACCGACAAGUCGAGCAGGUGCGAAAGCAGGACAUAGUGAUCCGGUGGUUCUGUAUGGAAGGGCCAUCGCUCAACGGAUAAAAGGUACUCCGGGGAUAACAGGCUGAUUCCGCCCAAGAGUUCAUAUCGACGGCGGAGUUUGGCACCUCGAUGUCGGCUCAUCACAUCCUGGGGCUGUAGUCGGUCCCAAGGGUAUGGCUGUUCGCCAUUUAAAGUGGUACGUGAGCUGGGUUUAAAACGUCGUGAGACAGUUUGGUCCCUAUCUGCAGUGGGCGUUGGAAGUUUGACGGGGGCUGCUCCUAGUACGAGAGGACCGGAGUGGACGAACCUCUGGUGUACCGGUUGUAACGCCAGUUGCAUAGCCGGGUAGCUAAGUUCGGAAGAGAUAAGCGCUGAAAGCAUCUAAGCGCGAAACUCGCCUGAAGAUGAGACUUCCCUUGUGGUUUAACCACACUAAAGAGUCGUUCGAGACCAGGACGUUGAUAGGUGGGGUGUGGAAGCGCGGUAACGCGUGAAGCUAACCCAUACUAAUUGCUCGUGAGGCUUGACUCUAU
rnacentral:rRNA from 1 species